rnacentral:rRNA from 1 species
GGGUGGUAAAUUCCAUCUAAAGCUAAAUACAGGCGAGAGACCGAUAGCGAACAAGUACAGUGAUGGAAAGAUGAAAAGAACUUUGAAAAGAGAGUGAAAAAGUACGUGAAAUUGUUGAAAGGGAAGGGCAUUUGAUCAGACAUGGUGUUUUGCGCCCCUCGCUCCUUGUGGGUGGGGGACUCUCGCAGCUCACUGGGCCAGCAUCAGUUUUUGCGGCAGGACAAAACCUUGGGAAUGUAGCUGUGCGCCUCGGUGUACAGUGUUAUAGCUCUUGGGAAUACUGCCAGCGGGGACUGAGACUGCGAUACUUGUUAUCUAGGAUGCUGGCAUAAUGGUUAUAUGCCGCCCGUCUUGAAACACGGAC